CGGGGUGAGUAACGCGUGGGUAACCUGCCUCAUACAGGGGGAUAACAGUUAGAAAUGACUGCUAAUGCCGCAUAAGCGCACAGGGCUGCAUGGCCCGGUGUGAAAAACUCCGGUGGUAUGAGAUGGACCCGCGUCUGAUUAGCUGGUUGGAGGGGUAACGGCCCACCAAGGCGACGAUCAGUAGCCGGCCUGAGAGGGUGAACGGCCACAUUGGGACUGAGACACGGCCCAG
rnacentral:rRNA from 1 species